CAAACGUACACAUAUUUGAGAAAUGAUCGUAAGAUCAAAUUUAGGAUGGUUUCUGCGCAACAUUUUAUAAAUGAGGCCCCACAACUACAACAAAGAGAAGAAAAUAUGAUGAGGCAUAUCUGUAUAAUUCGAUUUUUGUGCAGAGGCGAGUUUGAGAAAAUCUGUUGAAAACAAUGAAUACUGUUACAUAGUUAAAAAUAAUAAUAAUAAUAAUGUUGAAGCUGCAUGCUUUACUUUUAAUGCUUCUACUCUAAAAGGGACUAGUUUCUUAUUUAGUUUUUUUAUUUAUUUUUUCAGUAAGUUGUCACACUGAAUUUGUGUUAAUGAAUUACAAUGUUUCAAACAAAUCCUCCUGGAGGUGUGUUUAUGUGUAUGUGUGGGGGUGGGAGGGCCUUCAUUUUUUUUAUUCUGCAAAAGGGAGGCACGGCAGAAAAAGUUUGGGAACCACUGCUCUACACAAUCUGACUUUGCUGCAGUUGGAAUUGAACUGCUGGUUCGUCUUGUCAGAGGAGAACUGGCCCCCCGACUGAGCCUGGUUUCUCCCAAGGUUUUUUUCUCCAUUCUGUCACCGAUGGAGUUUUGGUUCCUUUCCGCUGUCGCCUCUGGCUUGCUUAGUUGGGGACACUUCAUUUCCAACGCUACCCCUUGCCGUUUCAAUGCACUGCUUUCUACAAAAGAAAUGGAACCCAGUCUUCAUGGAGUUUUAAAGGUGGCUGUAAAAAUCAUGAACUUUGUGAAAGCCAGAGCCACCAACUCCCGGUUAUUCACUGCUCUCUGCGGAGGUAGGCACUGAUUACCACACUCUGCUAAUGCACACUGACGUGAGGUGGCUGUCCGGAGGGUGGGUAUGAAGGUAAAUUUGGUGCAAAACAACUGAGCGUCCGUGACAGCAGAAUUUGUAGUUGUAGAGAAGAGUCACACAUGUGUAUCAGUAAAUUUGAGGCCACAGACAAAAGUUGCAAACUUGUAGAUUUUUUUCUCUCUCCCACAAACACAACACAACAGAUACACCUUCUCGAAUCCUUCAUUGCAGAUACACAAAUCCUAUUCUACGGAUCACAAAUCAAGAAACUCGUACGCUCACAUGUUUUGCUACUAUUGCUGCAGCGAAUAUGUAUGCAAAACACACUCACACACCUGCAUCAAAAAUGUGAAGUCGCGGACGAAUUUUGUACAUCCGCGUAUUAGUAUUUGAAUCCUUGCAAUGAGAUUUGCACACUUGUAGAAUGUUUUCUUACAUAUAUAUUUUUUUUCUUGGAUGCCUUUUCUAGCACAAACACAAGUACAUAACGACAACGGCUUGAAUCUGCUGCUACGAGUCUCAGAUGCUGUUUUUCACUUGCAAAUGACAAGUUUCGCACACUCUCCCUUUUGCACCACAUAUCUGUGUGACAAAUGGUGCAAAAGUGAUUUGUGCAUCUGUAGAGGCAGCGGCGGCCAAUCUGCAGAGAUCAGAGAAGUUCAGCCAAUCAGAAGCUACACUGUAUCCGGUUUUUGUUAUUCUUUAUAGUUCUUCGGUUUUUUAUGAUCAAGUUUGUGGAUCUUAUCGUCUGCAACGUCGAGGGUGUAUUUUGGAGCCAUCGCAACAGUGAUUACAUCAGCUGGUAAGUUGAGUUAAAAUCAGUUAUUCGAAGUAAAUUUUUAAUCAGGGAAGCAUAAUUCUACACUGCCUUUUUAUCGCAGGUUAUGUCAGACGUUACAUAACAGCGAGCUAACGUGAAAAUAGUAAAGAAAAAUGAGUUAAGACACACCGCUGUUAUACAUCUUUUGUAUUUUAUUUUCAGGUUUUAAUCUAUUGGUAAUGUCACCUGCAACGGAGGUGUAUUGGAGUCUUUUCCUGUGAUUGAAUCAUAGAGGUGGUAACAACAGGUGAGUGAGCUGCCAUCAACUACUAUAUUAGCUGAAUUAGACACUGGCUGCUGCUCACUAACCCACAGAACGGGUUGUAUAGGAACGGACUAGCAAUAUAUGGGAAGUUUGGCUAAGAAAUAUUAUUUGUUUAUUUGUUUAUUUGUUUAUUUUAUUAUAACCUGUAAGUUCUGUUAUUGUAUGGUACUUUUUCUUUCUUUCUUUCUUUUUUUCUUGCCAUAAACUAAAAUAACACUAACAGGAUUGUGACUCUGUUACAGGAGAUUGCUCCAAGCAAAAACAGGGAUGCUGACUAUGAAGGGCAGAAUCACAAUAUGGCCAGCUGUCAAUUUUAUUGAAAUUAGUUUGUAGUCUGGAUCAUGUCAUCUGCAAUACAUUCCAGUUGGAGGCUUUUUUUGUGAUUGCUAUUGUUACGGGAAUAACAUCAACUGGUCACCGUAACCACCCGAUCCAGUCCGUAUCCAGAUCAGACGGUGGAUCAGCACCUAGAGAUGACCUCUACAGCCCUGAACUUCAGCGGAGACCAGGACAUCUAGAUGAGCCCCAGAGACAGAUCCCCAGUGAAGACCCUGGUCUCCUAGACGGCCAUUGGGACAGGACCACGGGAACCAGAUGAGUCCUCUGCAUAAUCUGACUCUGCUGCAGCAUGGAACAACCUGCUGGUUCGUCUGGCCAGAGGAGAAUGACACACUAUCUCGACACACUAUUUCCCCGUUUAAUACUGUAAAGCUGCUUUGACACAAUCUGCAUUGUAAAAAGCACUAUAUAAAGUAAUGGUCACUUGACUUGACUUUGACCUACUGUUUGAUCUACAGGAAUGCAUUAUAAGUAAUGUAUUAUAAAUGUAAUGAUUUGUGAUGGAUUAUCAACUAAUUAUGCACCUUCCUUGUAGGUGCGUUCAGAGAGUAUAUAGUGUUUUUAUUCAUCUCAAAAUGCAUACAGCACAAAAUCUGGCAGUUAGGGAAAAUUCUGUAAACACUUGUUUUAAAUAUUUUUUUUUUCUUGUUCUUGCAGGUUCAUUCCGAGUAUCAACCCUGGUGGUGUACCAUUCAGAGUCACAGAUCAGAUGGAAUUCUGGGAAGAGGGUGCAAAGACAAAGCAUCAGCCUGAAUCCCCUCAUGGUGUUUUUCAUCAGAGAGCUUGUCAACUUUGCCAAUAUUACUGAAAUUUAACGCAAUACAAACAAUUUUUUACUGUAUUUUUAUUUCUGUGAAGUCUGUUUUGCCAUGCUGCAGACACAAAGUCCCCAGGGGACUGUGGUGAUGCCUUUUUUCAGCUAGCACAUGCUGGAGAUGAAGAUUUGUAAUUUGUAUUUUUAAAAAGAACAUGUUCAACAAUUAAAAAGAAUAUUAUAAAGACAAAUGCUAAUGAGUUAGUGAUCUUUAUGAGGUUGGGGUUGUAAAAUAAUAUGGUAUACAGUGUUGUACUGCAAUUAGAUUGUUUUAUACAGGUAAAAAUUUUAAAUAAACUAAACAGUACUAAUAUUGACAAUACAGGAACUUUAAAUGAGAAUACAGUAAUAAUACAUCCAGCUACUGUAAAAUUUACAGCAAUCUCUUUACAGUGUAGUUUAGGUGCCUAUCCAUUGGCACCUGAAAGAGCAGGGGGUAAUAAUAAAAUAAUAACUAAAGCUGCGAGCAUCUUCCGGAGCGGACAGCAGCAAAUACCAAUAAAGGUACAUUUUCUUUCUUUUUCUGAAAUCACUCACUGUUAUACUGUACAUUUGUUCAUAAUUUGUAAAAAAUAUAUUAACAAAUAUAUUUAAUCGUCUUGUAUAUGACACUCAUAGUAAUCUAUUUAAUUAGCGGGUUUAUCUUUUAUGAAGCCUCUUUGUGAGUUGAAGCAGGGAUG